CAGCCGUAAACUAUGCGCGUUAGGUGUAUCGGUGACCACGAGUUACCGAGGUGCCGAAGGGAAACCGUGAAACGUGCCGCCUGGGAAGUACGGUCGCAAGGCUGAAACUUAAAGGAAUUGGCGGGGGAGCACCACAACAGGUGGAGCCUGCGGUUUAAUUGGAUUCAACGCCGUAAACUCACCAGGGAAGACUGUUACAUGAAGGCCGAGAUGAAGACUCUGCUAGAUUUUCAGAGAGGAGGUCGCAAUGGCGUCAGUGACU
rnacentral:rRNA from 1 species